rnacentral:lncRNA from 1 species
GGAGAGACACACCAUCAAUCAAUUUAGUGGGUGUGUGUGGUCUAUUUACUAUGAUACCUCAUAUAUCAUAGUCAAAUGCUUGAAUAAAAAUUUUCAUCCAAGCUUUCCAAAGUGAAGGUCGGUUUGUGGAUUGCCCCUCGGCUAGGAAUGUGCCAAAUUGGUUUACCAUUGAUCUUUGAUUCUUGAUGGUUAAAUCAAGUA